rnacentral:rRNA from 1 species
GCGUAGCAAUACGUCAGCGGCAGACGGGUGAGUAACGCGUGGGAACGUACCUUUUGGUUCGGAACAACACAGGGAAACUUGUGCUAAUACCGGAUAAGCCCUUACGGGGAAAGAUUUAUCGCCGAAAGAUCGGCCCGCGUCUGAUUAGCUAGUUGGUGAGGUAACGGCUCACCAAGGCGACGAUCAGUAGCUGGUCUGAGAGGAUGAUCAGCCACAUUGGGACUGAGACACGGCCCAAACUCCUACGGGAGGCAGCAGUGGGGAAUAUUGGACAAUGGGCGCAAGCCUGAUCCAGCCAUGCCGCGUGAGUGAUGAAGGCCCUAGGGUUGUAAAGCUCUUUUGUGCGGGAAGAUAAUGACGGUACCGCAAGAAUAAGCCCCGGCUAACUUCGUGCCAGCAGCCGCGGUAAUACGAAGGGGGCUAGCGUUGCUCGGAAUCACUGGGCGUAAAGGGUGCGUAGGCGGGUCUUUAAGUCAGGGGUGAAAUCCUGGAGCUCAACUCCAGAACUGCCUUUGAUACUGAAGAUCUUGAGUUCGGGAGAGGUGAGUGGAACUGCGAGUGUAGAGGUGAAAUUCGUAGAUAUUCGCAAGAACACCAGUGGCGAAGGCGGCUCACUGGCCCGAUACUGACGCUGAGGC